CCUACGGGAGGCAGCAGUGAGGAAUAUUGGUCAAUGGGCGAGAGCCUGAACCAGCCAAGUUGCGUGAAGGAUGACGGCCCUACGGGUUGUAAACUUCUUUUGUCAGGGAGCAAUUGGGUCCACGCGUGGGCUUAGCGAGAGUAGCUGAAGGAAAAGCAUCUGCUAACUACGUGCCAGCAGCCGCGGUAAUACGGAGGAGGCGAGCGUUAGCCGGAUGUAGUGUGUUUACAGGGUGCGUAGGCGGAAUAUAAAGUCAGCGGUAAAAAUUCGGGGCUAAACCCCGUCGUGCCGUUGAAACUGAUGUUCUUGAGUGGGCGAGAAGUAUGUAGAAUGCGUGGUGUAGCGGUGAAAUGCAUAGAGAUCACGAAGAACUCCGAUUGCGAAGGCAGCAUACCGG
rnacentral:rRNA from 1 species